CGGGUGAGUAACGCGUAGAAAUCCGCCUGGUAGUGGGGGAUAGCCCAGAGAAAUUUGGAUUAAUACCGCAUACGCCCUACGGGGGAAAGCAGGGGACCUUCGGGCCUUGCGCUAUCAGAUGAGUCUGCGUCGGAUUAGCUUGUUGGUGAGGUAAUGGCUCACCAAGGCGACGAUCCGUAGCUGGUCUGAGAGGAUGAUCAGCCACACUGGGACUGAGACACGGCCCAG
rnacentral:rRNA from 1 species